rnacentral:rRNA from 1 species
ACAUGCAAGUCGAACGGUAACAGGAAGCAGCUUGCUGCUUCGCUGACGAGUGGCGUGACGGGUGAGUAAUGUCUGGGAAACUGCCUGAUGGAGGGGGAUAACUACUGGAAACGGUGGCUAAUACCGCAUAACGUCGCAAGACCAAAGAGGGGGACCUUCGGGCCUCUUGCCAUCAGAUGUGCCCAGAUGGGAUUAGCUUGUUGGUGAGGUAACGGCUCACCAAGGCGACGAUCCCUAGCUGGUCUGAGAGGAUGACCAGCCACACUGGAACUGAGACACGGUCCAGACUCCUACGGGAGGCAGCAGUGGGGAAUAUUGCACAAUGGGCGCAAGCCUGAUGCAGCCAUGCCGCGUGUAUGAAGAAGGCCUUCGGGUUGUAAAGUACUUUCAGCGGGGAGGAAGGUGUUGUGGUUAAUAACCGCAGCAAUUGACGUUACCCGCAGAAGAAGCACCGGCUAACUCCGUGCCAGCAGCCGCGGUAAUACGGAGGGUGCAAGCGUUAAUCGGAAUUACUGGGCGUAAAGCGCACGCAGGCGGUCUGUCAAGUCGGAUGUGAAAUCCCCGGGCUCAACCUGGGAACUGCAUUCGAAACUGGCAGGCUUGAGUCUUGUAGAGGGGGGUAGAAUUCCAGGUGUAGCGGUGAAAUGCGUAGAGAUCUGGAGGAAUACCGGUGGCGAAGGCGGCCCCCUGGACAAAGACUGACGCUCAGGUGCGAAAGCGUGGGGAGCAAACAGGAUUAGAUACCCUGGUAGUCCACGCCGUAAACGAUGUCUACUUGGAGGUUGUGCCCUUGAGGCGUGGCUUCCGGAGCUAACGCGUUAAGUAGACCGCCUGGGGAGUACGGCCGCAAGGUUAAAACUCAAAUGAAUUGACGGGGGCCCGCACAAGCGGUGAGCAUGUGGUUUAAUUCGAUGCAACGCGAAGAACCUUACCUGGUCUUGACCUCCCACAGAAGGUUUCAGAGAUGAGAUUGUGCCUUCGGGACCGAGAGACAGGUGCUGCAUGGCUGUCGUCAGCUUCGGGUUGUGAAUGGUGGGUUAAGUCCCGCCACGAGCGCAACCUUUAUUCUUUUGUUG